GUGCCAGCAGCCGCGGUAAUACGUAGGGCGCAAGCGUUGUCCGGAAUUAUUGGGCGUAAAGAGCUUGUAGGUGGCUUGUCGCGUCUGCCGUGAAAACCCGAGGCUCAACCUCGGGCGUGCGGUGGGUACGGGCAGGCUAGAGUGUGGUAGGGGAGACUGGAACUCCUGGUGUAGCGGUGAAAUGCGCAGAUAUCAGGAAGAACACCGAUGGCGAAGGCAGGUCUCUGGGCCAUUACUGACACUGAGAAGCGAAAGCAUGGGGAGCGAACAGGAUUAGAUACCCUGGUAGUCCAUGCCGUAAACGUUGGGCACUAGAUGUGGGGAACAUUCCACGUUUUCCGCGUCGUAGCUAACGCAUUAAGUGCCCCGCCUGGGGAGUACGGCCGCAAGGCUAAAACUCAAAGGAAUUGACGGGGGCCCGCACAAGCGGCGGAGCAUGCGGAUUAAUUCGAUGCAACGCGAAGAACCUUAUCAAGGCUUGACAUGCACCGGACGACUCCAGAGAUGGGGUUUUCUUCGGACUGGUGCACAGGUGGUGCAUGGUUGUCGUCAGCUCGUGUCGUGAGAUGUUGGGUUAAGUCCCGCAACGAGCGCAACCCUCGUUCCAUGUUGCCAGCGCGUAAUGGCGGGGACUCAUGGGAGACUGCCGGGGUCAACUCGGAGGAAGGUGGGGACGACGUCAAAUCAUCAUGCCCCUUAUG
rnacentral:rRNA from 1 species